GAUGAACGCUGGCGGCGUGCUUAACACAUGCAAGUCGAGCGAAGCAGUUAAGUUGAUUUCUUCGGAUCGAUUCUUAACUGACUGAGCGGCGGACGGGUGAGUAACGCGUGGGUGACCUGCCCCAUACCGGGGGAUAACAGCUGGAAACGGCUGCUAAUACCGCAUAAGCGCACAGAGCUGCAUGGCUCAGCGUGAAAAACUCCGGUGGUAUGGGAUGGGCCCGCGUCUGAUUAGGCAGUUGGCGGGUAACGGCCCACCAAACCGACGAUCAGUAGCCGGCCUGAGAGGGCACCGGCCACAUUGGGACUGAGACACGGCCCAAAACUCCUACGGGAGGCAGCAGUGGGGAAUAUUGCACAAUGGGGGAAACCCUGAUGCAGCGACGCCGCGUGAGCGAAGAAGUAUUUCGGGUAAUGUAAAAGCUCUAAUCAGCAAGGGAAGAAU
rnacentral:rRNA from 1 species